UAGAGUACGGUACGUACAGUGAUUUACCGUAAUACAGUAUGACACCGUAAAUUACGGAGAUUGUAUGGCAAAGUACCGUGAUUGUACAGUAAUUUACCGUUAUUGUACGGUAAGAUACCGUGAUUUUACGGUAAAAUACCGUAAUUGUUAGUAAAAUACUAUAAUUAUCCGGUAAAAAAAGUACUGUUUUUGUACGCUAAAGUACCAUAAUUGUACGGUAAUGUACUGUAAUUGUACGGUAACUUAUCGCUAAAAUAAGGUAUAUUUGACGGUAGGUUAGGGGCCAUUCAUUAAUUACGUAAGGACACUUUUGGUGACUUUUGACGCACCUCCUCU